CUUCUCGUGGUUACUCGCCUGUCUUGUGAGUAGGAGUCGUGAGUUCGAAUCUCACCGAGAGGA
rnacentral:tRNA from 1 species